UUCGGAUUAGCCCUUAUUCUGACUUCAAAUGGGCUUAAUCUGGGCUUUGAAUCAGCCUAGAUUUGGCUUUGGAUUGGCUCUGGCCUGGCUUCGGAUCAGCUUUGACUUAGGCCUUCAAAUUAGACUUAUAUCUGACUCAGAUCAACCUAAUUUUGGGCCUUCAGAUCAGAUUAGGAUCUGACUUCAGACUGGCCUCUAUUGAGGUUCAGAUCAGUCAGGAUCUGACUUCAGAUUAGCCUUAAUCUUGACUUCACUUAGGCUGGAGUUGACUUCGAAAGUUUAGAUUUGAGCUUGGGAUUGGCCUUCAUUUGAGUUCGAAUUAGUCAGGAUCUGACUUCUAAUUGGUCUCGAUUU
rnacentral:lncRNA from 1 species